rnacentral:misc_RNA from 1 species
AACUUUUAACAACGGAUCACUUGGCUCUCGCAACGAUGAAGAACGCAGCGAAAUGCGAUACGUGUCAUGAAUUGCAGAACUACGAAUGAUGAAUGUUUGAACGCACAUUGCGCCACCGUUUCGGUGGCAUGUCUGUCUGAGAAUCUUAAAGGUUCUUUCAAACACUGUUGUGUUUGGCUCCUGGCAGGUUACUAGACGUAUGUGCUAGCCUGCUGAAAGACAAUGCAUCAAGCGUGUCCAGUACUCGACUUGGGUUUGACAAACUCAGACUCAAUUGAGUAGGGACAAUCAAUGACUUGGUCUCAGAUCAGACAGGAGGACCCGCUGAACUUAAGCAUAUCAAUAAGCGGAGGCU